rnacentral:rRNA from 1 species
AAUUUUCCGCAAUGGCCGAAAGCCUGACGGAGCAAUACCGCGUGAGGGAGGAAGGUUUUUGGGUUGUAAACCUCUUUUAUCAAGUAAGAACACAAUGACGGUACUUGAGGAAUAAGCAUCGGCUAACUCCGUGCCAGCAGCCGCGGUAAUACGGAGGAUGCAAGCGUUAUUCGGAAUGAUCGGGCGUAAAGCGUCCGCAGGUGGUUAUGCAAGUUUGUUGUUAAAGAGUGGAGCUUAACUCCAUAAGGGCAGUGGAAACUGCGUGAUUAGAGUACGUUCGGGGUAGAGGGAAUUCCUGGUGUAGCGGUGAAAUGCGUAGAUAUCAGGAAGAACACUGGUGGCGAAGGCGCUGUAUUAGGCCGUAACUGACCGUGAGGGAGGAAAGGUAAGGGGAGAGACCAGGAUAAAUUCCCCUGUUAGUCUACCCCUU